GACCCGUAAAAGGGUUGGGAGGACCGAAGUCGUGAACGUUGAAAAGUUCUGGCAUGAGCUGCGGGGAGGAGUGAAAGUCUAAUCAAACGGGGAGAUAUCUGGUUCUCUUCGAAAUGCCUUUAGGGGCAGCCUCAGGUAAUUAUUCUAUGGGGGUAGAGCUACUGAAAGAGGACGUGGGGCUACCCGCCUACACGCCUCUACCAAACUCCGAAUACCAUAGAACGUACCCUGGGAGUGAGUCGGCGAGCGAUAAUGUUCGUCGUCAAAACGGAAACAACCGAGAUCGCCUGCUAAGGUCCCAAAACAUAACUUAGUUCGUUAGGAAGUCAUUCUACUGUGACAGCCAGGAUGUUGGCUUAGAAGCAGCCACCAUUUAAAAAGUGCGUAAUAGCUUACUGGCCGAGUAAAGUGGCGCCGUAAAUGAUCGGGAAUAAGUUGUGUACCGAAGCAGCGAGCUGUAGCAAUACAGCGGUAGAAGAGCGUUGCACUCCGCGUUGAAGCCAUACUGUGAAGAGUGGUGGAGCGUGUGCAAGUGAGAAUGCCGGUAUGAGUAACGAUAAUGCAGGUGAAAAUCCUGCACGCCGAAAGCCUAAGGUUUCCUGGGGAAGGUAAAUCCGCCCAGGGUUAGUCGGGAGCUAAGAUGAGGCCGAAAGGCGUAAUCGAUGCACAGCAGGUUAAUAUUCCUGCACCGACUGUGAAGGUUGAACCUCCGAGUGCGCUUUUUCAAGGUAGAUCCUCCGAUUAGUCGUGGAGGUUUCGCAAGAUCGAGGCCAUUUUGUUGCCGAAGUCUAUGGAGAAAGAGCCAAGAAAAGCUCGGAGUUGACGACACAGUUGUCCGUACUAAAACUGACACAGGUAGGCGAGGAGAGUAUCCUCAGGCGCUCGAGAGAACUGCGGUUAAGGAACUAGGCAAUCUAACCCCGUAACUUCGGGAGAAGGGGUCCCUCCUCACUUCGGUGAAAGGGCGCAGGAAUCAGCCUGGGCGACUGUUUAUCAAAAACACAGCACUGUGCUAACUCGCAAGAGGAUGUAUACAGUGUGACGCCUGCUCGGUGCGGGAAGGUUAAGGAAGUCGGUUAGGGUUACGACCCGAGGCUGGCAACCGAAGCCCCCGUAAACGGCGGCCGUAACUAUGACGGUCCUAAGGUAGCGAAGUUCCUUGUCGGGUAAGUUCCGACGUGCAUGAACGGCGUAACGACUUGGGCGCUGUCUCAACCGCAGACUCGGUGAAAUUGAAGUGGCGGUGGAGAUACCGCCUUCCCGCAGCAAGACGGAAAGACCCCAUGCACCUUUACUAUAGCCUGAUACUGAUGCCGGUUGUGAACUGCGUAGGAUAGGUGGGACGCGUUGAAGCCCUGGUUCUGGCCGGGACUGAGCGAACGGUGAAAUACCACCCUGUCCGCAUUCGUCAUCUCACCCUGAUCCCAUGAAACUGGGCAGGGAACAGUGUUAGGUGGUUAGUUUGACUGGGGCGGUCUCCUCCAAAAGAGUAACGGAGGAGUACAAAGACGGGCUCAGGCCGGUUGGCAAUCGGUCGUCGAGCGCAAGGGUAGAAGCCCGUUUGACUGCGAGUGCUACAGCACAAGCAGAGCUGAAAGGCGGUCCUAGUGAUCCUGCG
rnacentral:rRNA from 1 species